AGGCGGGUGAUAAGAAGGAUGUGAGUAUUUACUAAUUAUGUCUUCCAAUGAACCCUUUGUAGCAUCAAAUAUAUGUGUGUGUAUAUAUAUAUAUAUAUAUACACACAUUAAAGAAGAAUUAAAUAACAAAAGUAAAAGAAUAUUAUAUAUAUAUAUUCGAUUCUCCAGCUAGCAUAUAUAUAUGCAUGCAGUAUUAUUCCCUCUAAGCUAGUUAGCUGCAUCUUCUCCUAAUUUUGUUGCAGUUCAUGAGCAUAAAGAAUAGGGGAGUUAUUGAUGCAGCGAUCUGCCCCGGUUUGUUUUCUACUUCAACGUUACUGUUCUAUAUGAUUCAAAGUAUACAGCCGUUGAGUUUAAUAUUAUUGAUCCUAAAUACGAAGAGAAGACAAUAUAUUACGCAUGCCAUCGUUGCUUAUAUUUGGAGAAAAGCGAAAGCAUAUGUCAAGGCUCUGAUUAAUUAGAUAGCAAAAGAAAACUGGUACUUGGACAAAAACCUAAUUCUAAAUCCCUAAUUUCCUCCCAAGUUGCUUCCUCUUUGGCCAGACUGUGCCAUUUCACAAGGAUUAAUUUUUACGCUUAUUUGCAUCUUAUCAAUGUAUAUUGUAUUUAGACAACUAGUAAUUAUACAGUUAAUAGAAUAUGUGAUAAUGUAGCAACGCGGGGUUGACUCGCAAAGACUCAGAAGUCUUCUUUUUCAAUAAAUAUCAUCUCCAAGUGUUUGAUCACUUGAACAGUUCAAGACAGAAAAAUAUAGAUACUGCAUUAAAUGCUCAUCUGGAGUCGAUACCUACUGUUUCAAAAUUUUACGUGAGCAGGAUUUAAGUGCUGUAGAGCUUACAUGAUGUAUCUAUUUCUUAAUUUUCAGAAUAGGACCAUCUGAUAUAGUUAGGCAAUUGAAGAUGAUGCCAAGUGACUGAAGGGACUGUAAAAGAAAUUUUUGGCUUCUAAAAUCUUCUAAACUUUCUUAGUAAAACACGUGCAAGCCUGCAGGAUAAGCCUGCCUGCAGAUAAAUUACAAGCAACCAUACAAAGAGAAAGGGCGCCUAAGAAUAUAGCAACAUAAAGGAAAUAUAUUGUGCUCAGACAAAAUGCUAAGAGGAACUGCGAAAGACGAAAAGCUGAUGCAGAGAAAGGUUUUUAGCAGUAUUAGCAGACGAGAGUCGCUGCAAGUUCACCAAGGCAGGCACCUACCACUACUACACUGAUAGAUAUAUGACAUACCUUUCAAUUCCGUGUAAUGCUAUGAGUAGUGCUUGGAGAAGAUUCGUUUGGAGGCCUAGAGGCUGGUGGUGCGCCUUGCUGCUGCUGGUGUGAGGACAAUGUUGUCUCAAUAGCCCCCCUAGUCAAGCUGCACCGAAGAGAUGGUGAGACUUGAUCGAAGAAAAUUGAACCGGGUAGUGGAAAGUGGCUUGGUGAAGAUGUCGGCUAUUUGAUCCUUGCAUGAAACAAAGGAAACUUUGAGAGAUUUGGUAGCCACACGUUCACGUACCAAGUGGUAAUCAAGUUCCACACGCUUGGUGCGUGAGUGUAAGAUCGGAUUUGAGGACAAAUAAGUUGCACCAAUAUUAUCACACCAAAGUGUUGGACGAUUUGGUAGUGAAAUACCAAGUUCUCCAAGUAGUGAUUGUAACCAAAUUAAUUCACAUACAAUGUUGGUGACUGA